GACGAACGCUGGCGGCGUGCUUAACACAUGCAAGUCGAACGGAAAGGCCUGCUUUCCCUUGUGGCUUGCGGGUACUCGAGUGGCGAACGGGUGAGUAACACGUGAGUGAUCUGCCCCCAACUUGUGUAUAAGCCUGGGAAACUGGGUCUAAUUCCCGAUAGGACUGCAGGGUGGUGCCUGUGGUGGAAAACGAUUUUCUAGUGGUUGGGGAUGAGCUCGCGGCCUAUCAGCUUGUUGGUGGGGUAAUGGCCUACCAAGGCGGCGACGGGUAGCCGGCCUGAGAGGGUGGAGGGGGACAGAGGGAAUGAGAAGCGACACAGACACCGAGGCGAGGCAGAAGUGGGGAAGAGAGGACGAUGGGGGGAAGAAUGAUGAAGGGACGAAGGGUGGGGGAAGAAGGGCUGCGGGAGGGAAACAGGUUUAGAGCGUGAGGAGGUCACCUGGUUGGAAGGGUAGUGACAGUAGUGGGAGAAGAAGCUCCGGCUAACUACGUG
rnacentral:rRNA from 1 species